GUCCACGCCGUAAACGAUGGGCACUAGGUCCUUGGGGAGCGACCCUCUGAGGGCCGGCGCUAACGCAUUAAGUGCCCCGCCUGGGGAGUACGGCCGCAAGGCUGAAACUCAAAGGAAUUGACGGGGCCCGCACAAGCGGUGGAGCAUGUGGUUUAAUUCGACGCAACGCGAAGAACCUUACCUGGGCUUGACAUGCAGGGGAAAGCUGGGGGAAACCUCGGCCCUCCUUCGGGACUCCUGUACAGGUGCUGCAUGGCUGUCGU
rnacentral:rRNA from 1 species